UGCCAAGUACUUCCAGGCUCCUGGCAACACCUGCCAGACAGAGCAGGAGGAAGAGCGAGUUCUUCCCUCCCAGAGACCAGGAGAGGCAGCGACGGGGAAGAACACCUCCUGUCCUGGGAAGGAGAGUCUCCAGAGCUGUCUUCUUGGACUGAACUCGGGCCCUGCAAACUGGGCCAGUGUUAGCCGCCUGGUGGAGGCCGUUUGCAACCGGCUCUGCGUCUUCACCCGGUGGCCACGUGGUCCAGAGGGACCGUGAGGACUCGCUGGUCAUUCAGUCUCCAGGAUCAUGUGGCAUCAGAGAGGCAGUGCUGGCCAGCCCCAGGUUGAUGGCUUCAGACCAACAUCCAGGUCUUUGAAUUGAAUCGAGGACUCAGUGGUGCUGGCCAGACUCUCCCUUCAGAAAAGGGUCUGUCCUUGGUCCAGGUGGGACAAGGACAGACCUUUAACUUAAAUGUCCUGGAGGAGCAGCCUUGGACCUCCAGCAGGGGUCUGCCUCCUCCUCCUCCUCCUCCUCCUCCUCCUCCUCCUCCUCCUCCUCCUCCACCUCCACCUCCACCUCCAGAGAAUGAACAGCAUGGCCCCUCAUCCAGUGCUGUUGGUCCUCCCCUCGCUCCAGCACCACUCCCCUCCUCUGUUCCUCCACCUCCUCUACCUGGACUACCUGUACCCAGGACCAGAGCCUACAGGAAGAGGAAGGUGAGCUGAAGCUGCUGUGGCAGAGCGGGGGUCGCUUCCUGGAGGAAAAACCCCUCUGGCUGCCAACGUCAUACAUCUGCAGCAAGUGUGUCCAACCCAGAAGAGAACUGGAUGAAUCUUAUUUAGUAACAAGUAGAAAUUAUAGUAGAAAUAUAAAAAAACUGACUGAGGUCAGUGUCAGGAUGAGUCUCUACGACAUGAAUGAAACUGAAAGUAACGUCCUUUGUUCAGAUUCAGUACAGAUUCAGUUUCUUGCCUUUUACUUCAUUUCUACUGUUGUUGAUAAAUGACAGUAACAACAUUUGAAGAGCAGAAUGUGUUCAGCUCCAGCACAGUCACCACCUUCACAGGUGAAAGUAUCGACCAGUUUAACAUGAAAACGGUGUUCAGUAGUAAGUACAUUACACAAAUUAGAAAAGCACAAACUCUAGUAUCUAUCUCUAGAUCCUGUAUUAUCACACUUAACAGUUGUGUCAGCUAACCGUGUUAGCAGUAUCUUCGCACGGCUCAGCCAGGAACCUGUUGCUGUCAGGUUGAUGUGGGUAGGUGCACUUGGUGUCCUCGGGGACACAGGUCAGAUCCACCCCUCCCUCCUCCAAAAAACCAAGAUGGCGACGUCCAUUAGCCCAGUGGCAGUUUGCCACGUGAGAGACACACACACUCAUACACACGGUACAGUAUACAGAAUACCAUAAUUUAGUGUUUGCGGACUGGAGAUCUAGUUUAUUGAACAAGGUUCCCUGAGCUGGUGGAAUCUGGUGCCACAGCAAAUGAAUUGGUCAUUGUGAAGUUUGUACUGUUUUCUUUUAUGGUAAAUGAUGCACAAACACACAGACUAGUAAAGUCAAUGCAGGAAGAGAAAAGCAAGAAGCUCCUUGGUUCAGCUUCAACCCUGGUUCUUUCUUGCAGUGUUUCUUGCAUGUUCAUUUUUAUGCCUUACUAUACUACUUUACUGUUUUUGCCAAUUUUCAUGAAAAUUUUAUUCUUUAUUUAGACUGAGAUUUUAAUGACUAUUAUGCUUUAAUAUUGUAUGACAUUUGGUAAUGUUUUCAUGCCUCACUAUACUAUGACAAAAAUUUCAUGACUUAUUAUACUAUGACAUUUUACUUGAAAAUUUUAUGCCUUACUAUACUAAGAUGUUAUCAUGCCUUAUUAUACGAUGAUGUGAUUAUGCCUUACUAUACAAUGACAUUUGUUUGAUUUUUUUUUCCUUAGUAUAUUUUGAUAUUUGUAUGACAGUUGAACAGCUAACUAUUUUAUUACAUUUUUUUUAUUAUUUAUGUUUAUAUUCUUCUGUUAUAUUAAGUAAUUAUACUUUCCCUGUAGAUUAAUUUAAUUAUUGUAGACUGUUUUAUCUAAUUUUCUUUACUGAACCUCAUUGUCAUUAUUCUCUCCAGCAAAUUAAGUAAAGCCUUUAAACUUGCUGUUUAUUAUAAUUUAUGUUUUAGUGUUUGUCCCAAAUUUUGUCUUUUCUUGUGAAGGCACUUUGUCACUGUGUUUUGAAAGGUGCUGUUUAAAUAAAACUCAUUUUAUUCUUUU